ACUUAAAUAGUUUAAUUAAAAUUUUAAUUUGUGGAAUUAAAGAUAACUCAAUGUUUUUAGGUA
rnacentral:tRNA from 1 species